rnacentral:lncRNA from 1 species
UUUUUAUCUUAUUUUUUAGGCUAGAAAACUUUUUCGUCAAAAUCCAUUUUUUCAUUUUUCUCCUUUAUUAUUUAAAAACCUACACUUUACCGCUUUGUAAAAUAAAAAAUAUGCACUCACCUCCUACCGUUAGUAAUCUGUUAGAGUUCCGUUAUAAAAUAUUUUUUUAUGCCAAAAAUACCCCUCCACCCUUUUCCCUGUUGCUUCGCCUUCCUCCGCCUCGCCGCCGCCUCGCCCACAUCUCCGUCCACGCCCAGAAACACUCCUUUGCCCUCCUCUGCCGACUCGCCUUCUCCCUCGUUGCCCUUACCUACCUCUCCAUCCACGCCCACCUCUAUUUCCUCCAUACUGUCGCCGAAAUCGAGGGGCGGCGAGGGCGCAGGAGGAGAAGGGCAGCAGGUGGAGAAGAAAAUUGAGAGAAACUGUGGCCGAUCGAGGCGUGAAUCGCGGCCGAUCGAGGCGGCGGUUCAGGGAGAUGAAGGAGGAGAUGAAAAUGGUGAGAGGCAAAAUGGUCAUUUUAUCAUCACAGUACACGCCGUACCCUCCUUGUGAAUAUUUUUUAUUUUAUAAGGGAGCAAAGUGUAAGUUUUUAAAUGAUAGGGGGUAAAAUAAAAAAUCGGGUUUUAAUAGGAGGGUUUUAUAUAAUUUAACCAUAGUUUUUAUGAAAUGCGGCGUAAUUGAGAACCUAAUUCAUGCAAUAAACAUUUGUGGAUUAAUUUGUGAUUAAGCAACUUCUCAUUGUUGGCUUUUUCAGUGGCAUUGUUGUCCUUAUAUUAGAGAUUAAAGUAAAUGUUUCUCCCUACACUAACUUUAACUGGAGCAUAUAGGCUCCAGAGAUUAGGAGACAUGUUUUUAUCUUCAUAGAGAGAGAGAGAGAGAGAGAGAGAGAGAGAUAAGAAAAUUACAUGUUAAGAAGAAUCUUUGCAUGUCUAAUGGUUUGUAGAACAAUUGAUAGUGUAACUGUUCCCCAUACAUGAUCAAGUCACAAUGCAAAUAAUAGACUGUUCCUAGCGCAAGUGGCAAAAAAUUUUGUGGUUGAUAUCCGAGGUCCCAAGUUCGAAUCUUAGUUGAUUUACAGUUCUAGCUAAGUUUAUUUCUAAAUGAAAUAAACGAAGCGGGUAGCAUGCUAUCCAUCUCUCAAAAAAAAAAAAAAAUCACAAUGCAAAUAUAUAAGAGUAAAAUGCAUGGCUAGUCCCUCUAUUAUCCCACUAUUGGAACAUAUUUUAAGUUGGUUUUAAUACUUUUUGUUGGCUUAAAGGCCAGCAUUCUACUUUAUGAGGGGAGGUCAGGUUGGACCGAAUCACGUUCAAAAUGAUAGAAGAUCAGAUUGGGCUGAGUCAUAUUCAAAGUAGCGUCAGACUAGUUGGACUGAUCAAGUCACAAUCGAGACUUGUGAUGUUGUGUCUGUACGCUGUAAGCUAGAAAAUUGAUUGUAUAUUUCUAACAAUUUGAGUUUUUAGAUUCGAUACUUUUCAGUUAAAUAUCUCGCACUAUCUAAACUUUCACAUUAUUACACUUUGAGCUCUAAUCGUCAAAAAUGUUUACUUUUUUCAAUAUAUUUUAUCCGGUACUUUACAUUGUAUGAACUACUCUAGUUUAAUCCGAACAUGAUAUGGUAAGGCUGUUUUAUAGUAAAAUAAAAAAAACUCGAGGACUAAAAGUGUACGCAAUGAAAAGUAAUGGGACCACUUUGUAAUACUGGAAUAGUUCAUUAUUUACUCAUACUUGUUGUUGUGGGAAACAGCUAAAAUUCCUUUUGAGUUGAUUGAGAGACAAAUUAUGACUAGUCAUUAUCCUAACAAUUACUAUUAAACUCAUUUCUAAUUUUAUAUAUAUAUAUAUAUAUAUAUAUAUAUAUAUAUCUUAAAAUAGAGUAUAAACUUUCAAUAUCAUUUAUGCGGUUUCGUAUUUUCUCACUUUAGUGUCUUAUGAUUUAAACGUGUAUCAAUUUAGUACCUUAUGAUUUUAUUUUUUUCUUUUCAUCAGCUUCUGCGUUAACAUUUUGUUAAAUUAUGCACAAAAAAUUUCAAAUACUCCACUUAAAUUUAUUAGGUAUUCACUUUAGUACCUUUUAGUUUUAAUUUUGUCACUCAUUAAAUGAAAAAAAUUAAUGAAGGGUAUAAUAAAAAGAGAAAAAUAAAAUCAUGGGAUACUAAAUUAAUACGCUUUAAAUCACAAGAUACUAAAAUAAAAAAAAAAGUAUAAAACCAUAUUGAUGGUAUUUGAAAUUUUUCCUAAAUAAAGUUAUAGUAAAGAGUAACUGCAGUAUAAAUAAACAAAUAAUAAUUGUAUAAAUAUUUAAGUCUAAGAUAUAUAGCUACAACCUUAGUUAGUUAAUUCGCGUUUAAUUCGCGAAUUAUUCGCGACUUUUUCGAAACCCGAAUUAAACGCCGGCAUCCGAAUUUUUCCAAAACAUGCGUAAACAAACGCAUUUUUUUCAGCAAAAAUAAUCAUCCGCGAAUCAUUCGCGAUUCGCGAAUGAUUCGCCCAAAGAAACGGCGGUCGCGGACUCGCUGCCGCGUCGUCGCCGCCAUCGUCGGCGUCCUCCUCCUCCAUCGCUUUCGUCGCGGAACUUUGGAUCACUGUAAAAUUUCUCGAAAAAAAAAAUUUCCGCUAAAAUUUUUUUUUCCAAACAAUAGUUGUCCCUCAAAUUUUUUUUGAAAAAAUUAUUUUAUAAAUUUUGGAAAAAAAAUCGAAUUUGUGACUUGAGAGUUGAGACUUGAGAGCAAGAGGUAGAAAUGGCGCUGGGUUUGGGAAGAAGAAGNUAAUUAUUAAUUAAUUAUUAAUAAAUAAUAAUAUUAAUUAUUAAUUAUUAAUUAUAAAUAAUAUAUUAAUAAUAAUAUCGAUUAUCAUUAAGAAUAAUAAUUAUUAAUAAUUAUUAAUAAAAAAUUAAUAAAUAUUAUUAAUUAUUAAUAAUUAAUUAUAAAUAAUAAAUUAAUAAUAAUUAUUAUCUAAUUAUUAAUAAGUAAUUAUAAAUAAUAAAUUAUUUAAUUAUUUAAUUAUUAAACCAAUAAAUAAUAAUGUAAAUAUAUUAAUUAGAUUAAUUAAUAAUUUACUGCUAUUAAAAUUAAAUUUAGAUUUUAAUUAAUCUUGUUCUCAUCAAGGAACAAGCUUGUUCCAGGAAACGGGUGGAACAGCAGUUCCAGCCUUAUUCCAGCUAGUUCCAGAUUUCCGGAAACUACUGUUCCCGGGAGCCAAACAUAGCGUUUGGGAACAAAGGGGGGAACAAGGGCUUAUUCCCCCCCUUGUUCCCCAACCAAACGCUACCUCAAAGUUUUUUUUCUGGUAUAUAAGAAGUACAUGUCAGAAGAGCCUAGCCAGUUAAUUUUUAUCUUAUUUUUUAGGCUAAAUUACAGAAAACUUUUCCGUCAAAAUCCGAUUUUUUCAUUUUUCUCCCCUGUCAUUUAAAAACCUACACUUUACCGCUUUGUAAAAUAAAAAAUGUGCACUCACCUCCAACCGUUAGUAAUCUAUUAGGGUUCCGUUAUAAAAUAUUUUUUUAUGCCAAAAAUACCCCUCCACCCUCUUCCCUGUUCCUUCGCCUUCCUCCGCCUCGCCGCCACCUCGCCCACAUCUCCGUCCACGCCCAGAAACACUCCUUCGCCCUCCUCCGCCGACUCGCCUUCUCCCUCGUUGCCCUUACCUACCUCUCCAUCCACGCCCACCUCUAUUUCCUCCAUACUGUCACCGAAAUCGAGGGGCGGCGAGGGUGCAGGAGAAGAAGGGGAGCAAGUGGAGAAGAAAAUUGAAAGAAACCGUGGCCGAUCGAGGCUUGAACCGCGGCCGAUCGAGGCGGCGGUUCAGAAAGAUGAAGAAGGAGACGAAAAUGGUGAGAGGCAAAAUGGUCAUUUUAUCAUCACAGUACACGUCGUACCCUCCUUGUGAGUAUUUUUUAUUUUAUAGGGGAGCAAAGUGUAAGUUUUUAAAUGAUAGGGGGGUAAAAUAAAAAAUCGGGUUUUGAUAGGAGUGUUUUAUAUAAUUUAACCAUAGUUUUUAUGAAAUGCAG